CACAAGACUACAGUUUGAAGUAAAAUCUGUAGUUUCUUAAAGUAAAAAUACUGGGGGCUUUUUAAGUAGAAGAUUAAUAAGGAUGAUAAGUACAUGUGUAUAUACAUAAGUACAUACACUCUCAGGAAUGUUCUCUUUGUAUCUUUGACUUCAUGUAAGUCAACAAGAGCUAAAGUAGAAAGCCCAGUGAGGAAGUAGAGUGUUACCUACUUAAAGCAUUUGGUACAAAAUCUGACUUCAGUGGAAUGGUUCUAAUUCUCACAGCAGAAGGGAGGCCAGCCAGUUGGAUCAGUGAGCCUGUCCGGACUGGACAGAUACUCUGGAGUCUGUUUUGUUUCCCUUUUUUCUUUUCCAGCUGCUCUAGGAUGUGGUUAAUUCUACAUUGUUGCAGUGUGGCUACAAGGGCAAUUAUUGUUUGUGUGAAACUGGAGAGAAAUGGGUGGUUAAGUCUGCUUCAGAUGUAAUUAAGUCUGAAAUGUCUCAGUGGUCACAUUAGAAGCACUAAUUUUAAGCUCUCUUAUUGGUUUAGGCCAUAGCCGUUUGUUACAUAAAAAGGAAAAGGGGUUUUUUUGGUCCUUAAUGAUUUUCUGUGGGAAUAUGGAGGGGAAAAAAAAAAAAGUGUUCUCCAAAGCAUCAAGACAGUAAUACCCACUACAGACUCCUUGUCCUGCCAAAAUAAAUUAGGAUUUCAACAAAGUUGGUGAUAAAGAGCAAUCUGAAGUUUUACCUGUUUGAACUCAGAGCUGGCUCAGCUCCUACAAAGUGUUCCUCUGCUCAUCCACCUGCUAGCUUUCUGCUGAUGCACUGCAGCAGCUAACGGCUCAAAACACAGGAGUCAACAGGUGAUGAAAAGCCUGUCUGCAGACUGUGCUGUCGCAGGCCCACCACUGAACUAGGUUUGAUGGUGUGGAGCAGUAAUGCAGGAAAGGGAGGGGACACAGCAAGAGAACUAUGGACUUCAGAGCAAACAAGAGAGGAAACAGAACACUAGGAGAAAAGGCACAAUGACUUAUUUAGAUACAGCAGCCAGAAUAUGCAGACCAGUGGUGGAAGCAUCCUCCUAUACGUUCAGUGUGCCCAGAAUAGGGAGAAUCAGUUAAUCAUAUCACUGAAAUGAGUCCUCUUUCCCUUGGAAGAAGAAAUUUCAUUAUAAUUCAGAUUUCUUUAUAACAUAAUAAUGUAUAGCAGAUUAAGAGGUGUCAUGUCCUACCAACCCAAGAGACCUCAACCACCAGAAGGAAUAUCCAAAGCACAGCAGGCUCAGGCACCCAGCAUCAGCCCACACCUCCUCACUUCCCUACAUGAGGAAGAACAUCCUCCAAUGAGACGCUAACUACUACCUUGAGGGGUUCCUCUCACAGAUGCUGCUGUCUUACCUCAGGGAAUUACCAACAGGCAGAUUACAACAAUUAUUUUCCCAAUGAUAGUAACCAACCACAUUUUCUGUGAAGAUGACCUUGGAUUCCAGAACUGAACUGCGCUGGAGUACAGGAAAUCAUGGGAAGCAGGAUGGACUCGAAUUAAAAGGAAGGGAUUUGUUUUUCUUGCGUUUGGAUGCCAGUGCCUGUUGAACUACGGUGACAUACUGUAAAAUCUGUGCUUCUCAUUAUGUAACUAAGCAAAAGGAAGAGCUGCAAGAGAUUAAAGUAAAACAACAGUAAUGAGAAAAUUUACAGCAGCCAGAAACUCUUGUAUGAAAAUGGAAAUUACAUUACAUAAUGUGCUGGACUGAGAACACUUGAAC